AUUGAACGCUGGCGGCAUGCCUUACACAUGCAAGUCGAACGGUAACGCGGGGCAACCUGGCGACGAGUGGCGAACGGGUGAGUAACGCAUCGGAACGUGCCCAAUCGUGGGGGAUAACGUAGAGAAAUUUACGCUAAUACCGCAUGAGAUCUAAGGAUGAAAGCAGGGGAUCGCAAGACCUUGCGCGAUUGGAGCGGCUGAUGUCAGAUUAGGUAGUUGGUGGGGUAAAGGCUCACCAAGCCAACGAUCUGUAGCUGGUCUGAGAGGACGACCAGCCACACUGGAACUAAGACGCGGUCCAGACUCCUACGGGAGGCAGCAGUGGGAAUUUUGGACAAUGGACGCAAGUCUGAUCCAGCCAUUCCGCGUGCAGGAUGAAGGCCCUCGGGUUGUAAACUGCUUUUGUACGGAACGAAAAGGUUUCCAUUAAUACUGGGGGCUCAUGACGGUACCGUAAGAAUAAGCACCGGCUAACUACGUGCCAGCAGCCGCCGUAA
rnacentral:rRNA from 1 species